CUUAUGCCUCAGCUCCUCCACCGGUCCGUGAAGUCGACCUCUCCCCCGGACUGUACUCCAACCACCAUUCAAACCCGUAACUUGUUUUUUCGAUUUCUUAGUAUUCUUCAAUACUUUUUCCAUAUCUUUUAUUAGAUUCACAAGAGUCGUCCAUGGAAACUUUGGGUAUCUAAUUCCUUCUUAUUCUUCUUCCUCAACUACUAUCGCCAUUGGUGGAGCCACCAAAACCAGUUUUCAGGCAUGUAGUAUAGGUAACUCAUGUUGUUGUAAGAUGGCUAUGAAUAGUGAAGAAUCUUGAUGAAAUGUACUUGUAAAUGUAGAGUAACUAAAAGAAAAUAGUAUCUCUUGUAGGCAAAUUGGCAAGAACUAAUAUGGAUUAUAAGGCAGGAAAUGAGUUUCUCAAUUUUAGAAUUUAGAACAACAUUGUAU
rnacentral:lncRNA from 1 species